CACUCCUGCGGGAGGCAGCAGUGGGGAAUAUUGCACAAUGGGCGCAAGCCUGAUGCAGCCAUGCCGCGUGUAUGAAGAAGGCCUUCGGGUUGUAAAGUACUUUCAGCGGGGAGGAAGGUGUUGAGGUUAAUAACCUCAGCAAUUGACGUUACCCGCAGAAGAAGCACCGGCUAACUCCGUGCCAGCAGCCGCGGUAAUACGGAGGGUGCAAGCGUUAAUCGGAAUUACUGGGCGUAAAGCGCACGCAGGCGGUCUGUCAAGUCGGAUGUGAAAUCCCCGGGCUCAACCUGGGAACUGCAUUCGAAACUGGCAGGCUAGAGUCUUGUAGAGGGGGGUAGAAUUCCAGGUGUAGCGGUGAAAUGCGUAGAGAUCUGGAGGAAUACCGGUGGCGAAGGCGGCCCCCUGGACAAAGACUGACGCUCAGGUGCGAAAGCGUGGGGAGCAAACAGGAUUAGAUACCCCAGUAGUCCCAUGA
rnacentral:rRNA from 1 species